CAGGCCCUUCACUCUUCUACUGAACCACUUUCUUCCAUGUGCACACGCUGAUUUCUCAACCUGGAAUCCUUUCCCUACACCUUUCCUCAAAGGACUGUUAAUGAGUUUUCAGAGCAGGUACUUCACUGAAAUGUAACUACCACAAUGCAUCCUUUCCAUGUGACUAACUUCGCUCAUGGACCAGAAUCACUGCGGCUCUGCCCUGGAGUGGUGCAAAGAGCUCGCAUUCUGUUUGGAAAGCAAAUUAUUUAAAUCCAGUAGAGGACUCUCAAAUGUGGUUGGAAAAUCUAAGAAGACUUCCCAGAGGCAGCAGCACUAGUGUCAGGGAAAGAGCUCACAAAUUCCAUUGCUGUAGAACCCAUGUGUUGAAGACCACUACACUGGAAUCUAGUUUUCUAUCCUAAAAUCUACCUCCUGAGUUUGAGUAAGACUUGAACUAGUUUGCAAAUAUCUGUGAUCUUCACCUUGCCUGCCUGCAAAGCCCAUAAGCAAAUUCAGAAGAGACUUCUACUUGUCCAAAGCAACAUGGAGUAAAGUGGGUCAACUAGAAUUAAAAUAUGCUCCAGCCAAAGGUGACCAUGGGAACCUAUUGAUAAGGCUCUGGGGUCAGAUUCAUCUCUGUUCAGACAACUCUAGCGGUGUGACUCUGAGCAAGUGUUUUUUAACCUAAGUUCCUGCUUCCUCAACUGCAAAUGUAGGAAGGGUAACAUCUUCCUCAAAGUUGUAUGCUGGGGAUAACACAUGAAGGAGAUACCUGGGCCAUAUAAUUAUUUAAGAAAUGUUCAUUUAUUUCUUGAACUACCUUCUACCAACUAUUUGGUCUGAGUUUAUGAAACUGUAAAUUUUGUCUAACAUUUGCCUAACAAAGCAUUAUUACCUUGCUUAAAGAAACACACAAUACAUUCUAAACCAAAAAUAAUUUGAAUGUAAUCCAUUAUUUUGGAUUAAUCUAUAUCAUCACUCCCCUCCCUUAGAGAAGACAGGCCAAGAGUUGGUUGCAAUAACUUUUGAAGUAAAUUGAAGACCUUAUAAUUAACACUUAAGUCGGAGAAGUUAUUAUAUUUUCCAGUGUUUC
rnacentral:lncRNA from 1 species